rnacentral:rRNA from 1 species
AUGAAGGACGUUACUAACGACGAUAUGCUUUGGGGAGCUGUAAGUAAGCUUUGAUCCAGAGAUUUCCGAAUGGGGAAACCCAGCAUGAGUUAUGUCAUGUUAUCGAUAUGUGAAUACAUAGCAUAUCAGAAGGCACACCCGGAGAACUGAAACAUCUUAGUACCCGGAGGAAGAGAAAGAAAAUUCGAUUCCCUUAGUAGCGGCGAGCGAAACGGGAAGAGCCCAAACCAACAAGCUUGCUUGUUGGGGUUGUAGGACACUCUAUACGGAGUUACAAAGGACGACAUUAGACGAAUCAUCUGGAAAGAUGAAUCAAAGAAGGUAAUAAUCCUGUAGUCGAAAAUGUUGUCUCUCUUGAGUGGAUCCUGAGUACGACGGAGCACGUGAAAUUCCGUCGGAAUCUGGGAGGACCAUCUCCUAAGGCUAAAUACUCUCUAGUGACCGAUAGUGAACCAGUACCGUGAGGGAAAGGUGAAAAGCACCCCGGAAGGGGAGUGAAAUAGAACCUGAAACCGUGUGCUUACAAGUAGUCAGAGCCCGUUAAUGGGUGAUGGCGUGCCUUUUGUAGAAUGAACCGGCGAGUUACGAUUUGAUGCAAGGUUAAGCAGUAAAUGUGGAGCCGUAGCGAAAGCGAGUCUGAAUAGGGCGUUUAGUAUUUGGUCGUAGACCCGAAACCAGGUGAUCUACCCUUGGUCAGGUUGAAGUUCAGGUAACACUGAAUGGAGGACCGAACCGACUUACGUUGAAAAGUGAGCGGAUGAACUGAGGGUAGCGGAGAAAUUCCAAUCGAACCUGGAGAUAGCUGGUUCUCUCCGAAAUAGCUUUAGGGCUAGCCUCAAGUGAUGAUUAUUGGAGGUAGAGCACUGUUUGGACGAGGGGCCCCUCUCGGGUUACCGAAUUCAGACAAACUCCGAAUGCCAAUUAAUUUAACUUGGGAGUCAGAACAUGGGUGAUAAGGUCCGUGUUCGAAAGGGAAACAGCCCAGACCACCAGCUAAGGUCCCAAAAUAUAUGUUAAGUGGAAAAGGAUGUGGCGUUGCCCAGACAACUAGGAUGUUGGCUUAGAAGCAGCCAUCAUUUAAAGAGUGCGUAAUAGCUCACUAGUCGAGUGACACUGCGCCGAAAAUGUACCGGGGCUAAACAUAUUACCGAAGCUGUGGAUUGUCCUUUGGACAAUGGUAGGAGAGCGUUCUAAGGGCGUUGAAGCAUGAUCGUAAGGACAUGUGGAGCGCUUAGAAGUGAGAAUGCCGGUGUGAGUAGCGAAAGACGGGUGAGAAUCCCGUCCACCGAUUGACUAAGGUUUCCAGAGGAAGGCUCGUCCGCUCUGGGUUAGUCGGGUCCUAAGCUGAGGCCGACAGGCGUAGGCGAUGGAUAACAGGUUGAUAUUCCUGUACCACCUAUAAUCGUUUUAAUCGAUGGGGGGACGCAGUAGGAUAGGCGAAGCGUGCGAUUGGAUUGCACGUCUAAGCAGUAAGGCUGAGUAUUAGGCAAAUCCGGUACUCGUUAAGGCUGAGCUGUGAUGGGGAGAAGACAU